rnacentral:lncRNA from 1 species
UGUUUCCUCAGUCUGCGAGCUGAGAACAUCUAGGCCUUGUGCAAGACAAAAUUGGAAAAGUUAAAUUCACUUCGUAUGUUAUUUGUUGUGAAAGGAAAAGAAGAUAAGACAACCGGGAUUGUCUCACUUCCUUACAACGAGGCAAUGAAUGUUAUUCUUGUGUGCUUACAACAGAAAUUGGAAUUGGACGUGUUGUAUGUGGUUCUGAGAAACUUUCCAGAGGCACUGCAAGAUAAAAACUUGAUACAUUCUUGAAAGCACUACUUGCAUUAAAUAUGUACAGUGUUAUCUAAAAUGUUUUGUCUGAUGCGCACUUUGGAGAUUGGUUUGGUUGCUCAUUCCACGACCUUAUGCGUUUCCUGUCUCACCAUAUGUAUGUUAGAAAUGCUUUGCCAGUUAUGACAAGAUACUCUCAAUACACG